UGGUCAAGUUAUUAAGGGUGUAGGGCGGAUGCCUUGGCACUAGGAGCCGAUGAAAGACGUGAUAAGCUGCGAUAAGCUUCGGGGAGUGGCACAUACAUAUUGAUCCGAAGAUUUCUGAAUGAGGAAACUCACUCAAAGUAAUGUUUGAGUAUCUAUACAUCAAUACAUAGUGUAUAGAGGGGAACUCAGGGAACUGAAACAUCUAAGUACCUGAAGGAAGAGAAAGAAAUUCGAUUUUGUUAGUAGCGGCGAGCGAACGCGAAAGAGCCCAAACCGAGCUAGUUUACUAGUUCGGGGUUGCGGACAUAUCUUAAGGAGAAGUUAUUGCAAGUAGAAUAGAGCUGGAAAGUUCAACCACAGAGGGUAAUAGUCCCGUAUACGAAGCCAAGAAAUCUCUUGAUAUGAUCCAGAGUACCACGAGACACGUGAAACCUUGUGGGAAGCAAGGGGGACCACCCCCUAAGGCUAAAUACUACCUAGUGACCGAUAGUGAAUAGUACCGUGAGGGAAAGGUGAAAAGAACCCCGGGAGGGGAGUGAAAUAGAACCUGAAACCCUACACUUACAAACUGUGGAAGCGCAUUAUUGGCGUGACCGCGUACUUUUUGUAGAACGGGCCAACGAGUUACGUUAUGUGGCAAGGUUAAGCACUUCAGGUGUGUAGCCGAAGCGAAAGCGAGUCUGAAUAGGGCGAAUUAGUCACCUAACGUAGACCCGAAACCGAGCGACCUACCCAUGAGCAGGAUGAAACGAAAGUAAAAUUUCGCGGAGGUCCGAACCCACGUAUGUUGAAAAAUGCGGGGAUGACUUGUGGGUAGCGGUGAAAUUCCAAUCGAGCUCGGAGAUAGCUGGUUCUCCCCGAAAUAGCUUUAGGGCUAGCCUUGAAUGUAGAGAUGUGGAGGUAGAGCACUGAAUGUCCUAGGGGGUAUUGUACCUACCGAAGACUAUCAAACUCCGAAUGCCAUAAUCUUUUAUUCAGGAGUCAGACUAUGGGUGAUAAGGUUCAUAGUCGAGAGGGAAAAAGCCCAGAUCGUCAGCUAAGGUCCCUAAAUGUAUGUUAAGUGGUAAAGGAUGUGGGAUUGCACAGACAACCAGGAUGUUGGCUUAGAAGCAGCCACUCAUUUAAAGAGUGCGUAAUAGCUCACUGGUCGAGUGAUUCUGCGCCGAAGAUUUCCGGGGCUAAAACAUACUACCGAAGCUACGACAUCAUUUUUAUGAUGGGUAGGGGAGCUUCCCAUGUAGGCUGAAGCGAUACCGUAAGGAGUCGUGGACAGCAUGGGAGUGAGAAUGUUGGCAUGAGUAGCGAGAUGAAGGUGAGAAUCCUUCAGGCCGUAAACCCAAGGUUUCCAGGGGAAGGUUCGUCCUCCCUGGGUUAGUCGGGACCUAAGCUCAGGCCGAAAGGCGUAGGCGAUGGACAACAGGUUGAUAUUCCUGUACUACCGAUAAUUGCUUGAGAGAUGGGAUGACACAGUAGGAUAAGCUGAGCACACUGUUGGUUAUGUGUGUCCAAGCGUUGAGGCAGACUAGAUAGGUAAAUCCGUUUAGUUAAUGCUGGGGCGCGAUGGGGAGCGAAAAUAAGUAGCGAAGCAGCUGAUUUCACACUGUCGAGAAAAGUCUCUAUCGAGAUUAAAGGUACCCGUACCGCAAACCGACACAGGUGGGUGAGGAGAGUAUCCUAAGGCCAGCGAGAGAACUGUUGUUAAGGAACUCGGCAAAAUGACCCCGUAACUUAGGGAUAAGGGGUGCCUCAGAAAUGAGGCCGCAGAGAAUUGGCCCAAGCGACUGUUUACCAAAAACAUAGGUUUCUGCUAAGUCGCGAGACGAUGUAUAGGAGCUGACGCCUGCCCGGUGCUGGAAGGUUAAGAGGAUCUGUUAGAGCAAUCGAAGCAGUGAUUUUAAGCCCCAGUAAACGGCGGCCGUAACUAUAACGGUCCUAAGGUAGCGAAAUUCCUUGUCGGGUAAGUUCCGACCCGCACGAAAGGCGUAACGAUUUGGGCACUGUCUCAACAACAGACUCGGUGAAAUUGUAAUCCCGGUGAAGAUGCCGGGUACCUGCGACAGGACGGAAAGACCCCAUGGAGCUUUACUGUAACUUGACAUUGGGGCUAGAUACUACAUGUACAGGAUAGGUGGGAGACUAUGAAAUCAGGGCGUCAGUUUUGAUGGAGUCACCCUUGGGAUACCACCCUUGUAGUGUUUGGACUCUAACCAUAGGCCAUGAAUCUGGUCUUGGGACACUGUCUGGUGGACAGUUUGACUGGGGCGGUCGCCUCCCAAAAGGUAACGGAGGCGCUCAAAGGUUCCCUCAGUACGGUCGGAAAUCGUACGAAGAGUGUAAAGGCAAAAGGGAGCUUGAUUGCGAGACAUACAGGUCGAGCAAGGUAGAAAUACGGACUUAGUGAUCCGGUGGUUCUGCGUGGAAGGGCCAUCGCUCAACGGAUAAAAGCUACCCUGGGGAUAACAGGCUUAUCUCCCCCAAGAGUCCACAUCGACGGGGAGGUUUGGCACCUCGAUGUCGGCUCAUCACAUCCUGGGGCUGUAGUUGGUCCCAAGGGUUGGGCUGUUCGCCCAUUAAAGUGGUACGCGAGCUGGGUUCAGAACGUCGUGAGACAGUUCGGUCCCUAUCCGUCGCAGGCGUAGGAAAUUUGCGGAGAUCUGCCCCUAGUACGAGAGGACCGGGGUGGACAUACCUCUGGUGUACCAGUUGUCCUGCCAAGGGCAUAGCUGGGUAGCUAUGUAUGGAAAGAAUAAGCGCUGAAAGCAUCUAAGCGCGAAGUCCACUUCAAGAUAAGAUUUCCCACCGUAAGGUUAAGAUCCCAGGAAGACUACCUGGUUGAUAGGUCAAAGGUGUAAGUGCAGUAAUGUAUGUAGCUUAUUGAUACUAAUAGAUCGAGGACUUGACCAAU
rnacentral:rRNA from 1 species